UGGAUUAUGCUAAAUCUUUUAUCACUUAGCGAUUCAUUAAACGGAAAAUUAAACCUAAAGCCUCCCCACCUUUCAAUGGAAGCUGCUGGGUAUCUAUCUUGUCUAACCUUCUGAUGUCCCUUGUCAAUAAUCCAUGCUAUAUGGGGACUCUUAGACAUAUAGCAAAGCAGAUAUAUGGGUCAAUCCAGUUUGAACCAAAUUGAAUUUGGACUGAGAUCAAUUUGAUCAAAAUCAAAAUUGAAACCGUAUGUUGAUUUAUAGACUAAACCAUAUUGAAUUAAAAGUAGCGUAGGCUCAGUUCCGGUUUGAG
rnacentral:lncRNA from 1 species